AAAGAAACCAACCGGGAUUGCCCCAGUAACGGCGAGUGAAGCGGCAAGAGCUCAAAUUUGAAAUCUGGCCCCUCCGGGGUCCGAGUUGUAAUUUGCAGAGGAUGCUUCGGGUGUGGCCCCCGUCUAAGUGCCCUGGAACGGGCCAUCAGAGAGGGUGAGAAUCCCGUCUUGGGCGGGGUGUCCAUGCCCGUGUGAAGCUCCUUCGACGAGUCGAGUUGUUUGGGAAUGCAGCUCUAAAUGGGUGGUAAAUUUCAUCUAAAGCUAAAUACUGGCCGGAGACCGAUAGCGCACAAGUAGAGUGAUCGAAAGAUGAAAAGCACUUUGAAAAGAGAGUUAAACAGCACGUGAAAUUGUUGAAAGGGAAGCGCUUGCGACCAGACUCGCCCACGGGGUUCAGCCAGCACUCGUGCUUGGUGUACUUCCCCGGGGGCGGGCCAGCGUCGGUUUGGGCGGCCGGUCAAAGGCCUCCGGAAUGUAUCGCCCUCCGGGGCGUCUUAUAGCCGGGGGUGCAAUGCGGCCAGCCCGGACCGAGGAACGCGCUUCGGCACGGACGCUGGCAUAAUGGUCGUAAACGAC
rnacentral:rRNA from 1 species